AACGCACAUUGCGCCCGCUAGUAUUCUGGCGGGCAUGCCUGUUCGAGCGUCAUUUCAACCAUCAAGCCCCUGUGCUUGUGUUGGAGCCCUGCGGCUGCCGCAGGCUCCCAAACCCAGUGGCGGGCUCGUCGUCGUACUGAGUGCAGUAAAUUUACCACGCUCAGGGCACGCGACGGGUGACCGGCCGUAAAACCCCCCCUUCUCAAGGUUGACCUCGGAUCAGGUAGGAAUACCCGCUGAACUUAA
rnacentral:misc_RNA from 1 species